rnacentral:rRNA from 1 species
UACGGAGGGUGCGAACGUUUAAUCGGAAUCACUGGGCGUAAAGCGCGCGUAGGCGGUUUGUUAAGUGGGAUGUGAAAUCCCCGGGCUUAACCUGGGAAUUGCAUUUCAAACUGGCCGACUAGAGUACGGUAGAGGGAGGUAGAAUUUCCUGUGUAGCGGUGAAAUGCGUAGAUAUAGGAAGGAAUACCAGUGGCGAAGGCGGCCUCCUGGAUCGAUACUGACGCUGAGGCGCGAAAGGCGUGGGGAGCAAACAGG